rnacentral:rRNA from 1 species
AUUGAACGCUGGCGGCAGGCCUAACACAUGCAAGUCGAACGGUAACAGGAAGAAGCUUGCUUCUUUGCUGACGAGUGGCGGACGGGUGAGUAAUGUCUGGGAAACUGCCUGAUGGAGGGGGAUAACUACUGGAAACGGUAGCUAAUACCGCAUAAUGUCGCAAGACCAAAGAGGGGGACCUUCGGGCCUCUUGCCAUCGGAUGUGCCCAGAUGGGAUUAGCUAGUAGGUGGGGUAACGGCUCACCUAGGCGACGAUCCCUAGCUGGUCUGAGAGGAUGACCAGCAACACUGGAACUGAGACACGGUCCAGACUCCUACGGGAGGCAGCAGUGGGGAAUAUUGCACAAGGGGCGCAAGCCUGAUGCAGCUAUGCCGCGUGUAUGAAGAAGGCCUUCGGGUUGUAAAGUACUUUCAGCGGGGAGGAAGGGAGUAAAGUUAAUACCUUUGCUCAUUGACGUUACCCGCAGAAGAAGCACCGGCUAACUCCGUG